GAUUCAGAGAAGAUUCAAAGUAUAGGAAGAAUCUGUAAAGCUCAGGAGGGAUAGCGCCAUUGGAUCCUGACCUUACACGUAUGGAUUCAUGGAUUCUGGCGCUAUCCAUCCUGAGUUUCAUGGCUUCUUCUUGCUCUCCCAACACCCAUUCUUCUUCUUCUUAUC
rnacentral:pre_miRNA from 1 species